rnacentral:snRNA from 1 species
CAGUGUUACAGCUCUUUUAGAAUUUGUCUAGCAGGCUUUCCGGUUCUUACCGGAAAGCCCCU